UACGGAGGAGGCAAGCGUUAUCCGGAAUUAUUGGGCGUAAAGCGUGCGCAGGCGGUUCGUUGUGUCGGCGGUGAAAGCCCCGGGCUCAACCUGGGAAUGGCCGUUGAAACUGGCGAACUGGAGUGUGGCAGGGGGGGGUGGAAUUCCGCGUGUAGCAGUGAAAUGCGUAGAGAUGCGGAGGAACACCGAUGGCGAAGGCAGCCCCCUGGGCUGACACUGACGCUCAGGCACGAAAGCGUGGGGAGCAAACAGG
rnacentral:rRNA from 1 species